rnacentral:rRNA from 1 species
AACGAACGCUGGCGGCAGGCUUAACACAUGCAAGUCGAGCGCCCAGCCAGGGGAGCGGCCGACGGGUGAGUAACGCGUGGGAACGUACCUUUUGGUUCGGAACAACUCCGGGAAACUGGAGCUAAUACCGGAUAAGCCCUAACGGGGAAAGAUUUAUCGCCGAAAGAUCGGCCCGCGUCUGAUUAGCUAGUUGGUAAGGUAACGGCUCACCAAAGCGACGAUCAGUAGCUGGUCUGAGAGGAUGAUCAGCCACACUGGGACUGAGACACGGCCCAGACUCCUACGGGAGGCAGCAGUGGGGAAUAUUGGACAAUGGGGGCAAGCCUGAUGCAGCCACGCCGCGUGAAGGAUGAAGGCCUUCGGGAUGUAAAGCUCUAUUGUCCGGGAAGAUAGUGACGGUACCGGAAGAAGAAGCCCCGGCUAACUACGUG